AGGAGCGGCUAAAGAUACAGUGCGGCUCCCUAAUUUGCGCGUGCGUGUCCUCAACUCCAACGUUGCCGUUUCCGAGAUAGUUUGAAGGACAAAUUACGUUGAGAAACAAGAAACGCGUCUAACUUCAAUUGUAUUUUGUAUUUGUCACUGUCACAUCUUUGAUCGGAUUAUUGGAUAUUGGAUUUAUUUUUAUAUUUUGGAUAUUUGGAUCUAAGUUGGUUAUAUACAGAUUAUGCAUGGUUUGACCCAAAUCAAUAUGAAACAAGGACAUUUAUUGAAGCUAUAAAUAUAAUUUGUAAAUAAUUUUAAACUGUUAAUUACAAGAAUCACAUAGACAUUCUUUAUAAUUAUUAAUUUAGACAUUUUUGUGUAGAAAUAAAUAUUUUUAGUAGGUAUAGAUAUAUAAGAUGUAAUUUCAAUUAAUUUGAAUGCACAAAUAUGCUUGUGAAAUUGUGGAAAAGCUUAGGAUUUGUUAAAAUUCUGGAUUAAAAAGUACAGUUCAAUUCAACAGAUAUAACAUAAUAUACGUAUGGCAUUAACAAUAUAAACAGGUUAAUACAAUAAAACAAAGGUUUUUGGAAUUUUAAUCCUUUAUUAUUUAGAUGUAGGGCCGGCACUUUAUGUCCCGGUUAAACCGCCAUUAGCUAACCGGGGUUUAAUCAGGACAGAAAUGUAUGCAUAACAUAGACAUAAACACAAUUGUACUUAUUAUUAUGAUUAGGAGUGCGAAAUUGGAAAGCCAAGGUGAGGGAUAGGAAGCUGAUUCUGGAACAGGUCAAGACCCACCAUGGGUUGCGGAGCCAAUGAUGAUGAUAUUAUGAUUAUACAUGAUAUUACAACGCAAGAGGCCCAAUGAGGUACUUUUCUGUCCCGAUUAGCUAACCGAGGUUUAACGGGGACAUAAGUCCCAUAAUCUAUAAAGUUUUGAGCCAAAAGUAUGUAUUACACUUUCAUUUUCAUGUCAUCAGCAUUUGUUUAUUUAAACAUACUGUCAAAAAAAUUAAUAAAAAAAACACCAUAAAGCUAA
rnacentral:lncRNA from 1 species